rnacentral:rRNA from 1 species
GAUGAACGCUGGCGGCGUGCCUAAUACAUGCAAGUCGAGCGAACAGACGAGGAGCUUGCUCCUCUGACGUUAGCGGCGGACGGGUGAGUAACACGUGGAUAACCUACCUAUAAGACUGGGAUAACUUCGGGAAACCGGAGCUAAUACCGGAUAAUAUAUUGAACCGCAUGGUUCAAUAGUGAAAGACGGUUUUGCUGUCACUUAUAGAUGGAUCCGCGCCGCAUUAGCUAGUUGGUAAGGUAACGGCUUACCAAGGCAACGAUGCGUAGCCGACCUGAGAGGUUGAGCGGCCAGACGGGAGCAGAGACACGGUCCAGACUCCUACGGGAGGCAGCAGUAGGGAAUCUUCCGAAAUGGGCGAAAGCCGGACGGAGAAAGGCCGCGGGAGUGAUGAAGGUCUUCGGAUCGUAAAACUCUGUUAUUGGGAAAGAAAAAAGGUGUAAGUAACUAUGCACGUCUUGACGGUACCUAAUCAGAAAGCCACGGCUAACUACGUG